rnacentral:lncRNA from 1 species
UUGGAUUUAUUUCUAAAAUUAAAAUCAAAUUUGACUAGGGUUCCAUCUCUUUCCCUCUUUCAAAGAAAAGAACACUUCUUUUUUCUUUGCCAUAGCAGAGAGUUUUGGCUCCUUCUUGCUUCUUAACAAAAUUUGACUCUCAUAUCUUGUAAUCAGAAAUUUGUGUGACCAUUCUAAGGAAUCAUCUGCAAACUCAAGCACUUUGACCGAAGAAUUCAAAUUUAUUUGCUAUUUAUAAUGAAGAUGACAAAAGUAAAAAGGUUCUCUUUUUUUUUUGUUUCCUCCCAAGUUUUCACCAUUUCGGCAACCAAAUCCUUGCUUUUCCCGCCCAUAUCGUCCUUUUUCUUUCUUCUACAUGCCAUUUCAAAUGGUUCUUUAGCCGUUUGAAACCCUAACCCUUCAAGAAUCCCGCCCAAAUUAACCCUAGAAAAGCUCUAGUAAUUCUUCUAUAAAUAUAGAGUUUUGGUAAUAAUUUAGGACAACUCUAGGAGCCAUCUUCAAACAAUUUUAUUCUUCAAAAUACUUUAAAAUUCUUAGUUGUGUAGCCUCUGUCACUCCUUGCUAUAACAGAGAAAUUUUUCUUUGCACUUUUUUCGGAAAUUAUAAAGUUCGCGGUUGUAAGCUCGAGUUCAAGUCCGAAGCCAGAAUCUAUAGAUCUAUUCGACGUGCCCAAGUUCGCUGCAUCGCAAAAGGUCAGUGCUGAAAUUUUUCUUUUCGCUUUGUCUUUGAAGAUUGAAAAUGGUUGUAUGUUCUUUUGCAUGCGUUUUAAUGGCUGCUUGUUAAAAUCGUGAAUUUUAGCCAACUUCUGUAGAAGUCAUAUAGUUAUAGGUAUUCUGGUUAAGUCAAUGAAAAGGCAAUGAAAUCAUGAAAUCAAAAUAAUGAAAGUUAUACGUAUAGAAAUUAGUAGUUAAUGAAAUGAAAUUUUAUUUUAAAUCCCCUCUUUUCUUUUGUCAAAGAUACGCUGUUGCCUUUUUGUCUACCAUGUAUCAAAUUUUGCUUUUCAUUCCAAGAAUUAAGGUUAUGGCUUCUGCUCUUUUUUUUUAUGUCUUAAAAUAUAUCCCAAGUGUUACUGUUUUAGUGUAAAUGUCAUAGAAAACAUAUUGUUAGAAAUUAACUAUUUGGGUGCUUAGUUUAAAUGAUUUCGUGUUUAGUAAUAAGUUUUUUUUAAAGUGGUUUACUUCAUAGAGUUCUUGUUCAAAAAUGAUAAGAUAUAAGAUAUUUUAUAUAGAUACUACAUGUAUAGAGUCGAACAUUUGAAGAAUACUCCAUGUUUGAAAUAUUUCUUCUUUUGUGAGUUAAGAACUAUAUUUAUAGUUAUAGAUUUACAUUAUGUUUAUGAAAAAGAACUUAAUAAACUAUCUUGACCAUUUUAAACCAGUGAAUAUCUAAAGUUAUUUUGUUAGAUAGCUCUAUGUUUGCUUAAGUAGUUAAGUUUUUCUAGCUGAAAAUAACAUAAAUUUAUUAUAAAGUUAGGACUAGUUAAUGCUUAAACAGUGUAUUGUAGACUGAAAUUAUACUCUCAGAUGGUAGAAAAGAUAAUAUUCAGGAAGACUAAAAUAUCAUGUGCAAAGGACUUGAAGUUUAUUGAAACCACCUGCCAUUAUUAAAAGUUCUUGUACGUGCGCUUAAGCGAAGUCUGCUCGAAAUUUGACAUUUAUGAACCUUUCAAAUGAUUUCCCUUUUCUUACUGUUACUAUCGAGUGUGCCAUUAGAAUACUUUAGUAUUUGGUCCUAAUACUUGAAAUAAAGUAAAAAAAAGCAUGUGUUUUUGUGCGUUAAAUGAUACCAUGCGUAUUAUUUGUCUUAGAAAAGUCUACUGCUACUUCGUCAUUCUUUUUUUAAAAGGGCAUGCUACAAGGACUUUAAUAUCUAAUUUUAUGACUUAGGAUGGAAGGAGAAACCAUAUUGUUCUAAGUUUUAAUAAUCAUGUUGGCUAGAUUAAUCUGUUUCAUCUUUAGAGUUCAAAGGAACAAGAAAAGUUUUUGUUAAUUCAAUAUUUAGAUUAAGGAGAUAUGCCUAAACUUAGAAAUUAAUGAAUUUGCUGGUAUGAGAUUAAUCAAGUUUUUAAAAAGAAGUAUUUGUUUAUGUGAGUUAAUAAUCAUGUUGUAUGUUUAGAAUCCAAUUCAAAGUUAACUGUUCUUUUAUAUGUCUCAGUUUAUUGCCAAUAUCUUUAUUUCUAAUUCUCGUCUUUUUUUCUUUUUUUUCUUUGUUUGGCAUAUGCACUUGGAACAUUAUGAGUCUUAAUGCAAGACUCAACCCAUACCAGCAUGGAGUCAUUAGUAUUGAGCCUUAGACUAUGAUGGACAUUUAGAAGAAGAACAAGCGAAAAGCUUGGGGUCGCCUAUGACGACCUUUGUUAUUUAUAUUUACUCUGUUUCGAAUUUUUAAUCAAUUUGAUUAUAUUCUUUUGAUUAGUUUAGUUCUAUACUUAACUUGGGAUUGUUGAUUUACUUUUGAUUUAUUCACUUAGUAUUCUCACUUAGUUACUGGUAGAUAUUAUCUAUUUUAUAUAAUAGUGCUCUUAAAGAAUUUUUGAAGCGCCCUUUAAGUUUCAGGUUUCUAAGUUCGGAACUAAAUCAAUUAUUUUUUAAAAAAAAAAACAAAAACGAAAGACGUGCUUCAGUUGAAAUUGACAAUUUGUUUCUUAUAACAUCAUGAAAAAAUGUGAAUAUUUUUUAAACUACUAUAUUGUAAGCUAUAUUUUCUUAAAAUACCUCAAAUGAUAUUUCUUGAUAUUUUUAUAUAACUUAUUAACCUAAACUUGGUCGGUUAACUGUUAUUAACGUAUUUUAAAAGGUGCUUUAAAAACCUUCCUUUUAGAAUAUUUAAAAUCCUUACUUAGAAUCUUUAGGUUAAGACCAUAAGACAGAGUUUGACUUAAGCUUUAAAAAUAGGUGUCCUAAUUCACAUUAGAAUUAAUUAGGUGGCGACUCUCUUAAAAUUAAUUAAACCUCAGAAUCGCUAAUACGUUAUACUCUAAUUUGACCCGGUUUAAAUGGGGUAUAACAGGUCUUAGGCGCGUGUACGGAAGUUGAUUUGGAGGUCCGUAGGUCGUUCCGGCGCGAAUUGGCAAAAAUUGGAAAAUGGGAGAUUUUUGGAAAGUUUGACCGAGAGUUGGCUUUAUUGAUAUUGGGGUUGGAUCCUGAUUCUGAAAAUUGAAUAGGUGCGUAAUGUCAUUUAUGACUUGUGUACAAGAUUUAGUAUCAAUCGGAGUGUUUUGGUAUGAAUUGGCGUUAGUUUCAGAAUUUGGGAGUUCAUAGUUUAUAGGCUUGAAUUUGGGUUGUGAUUCGUAGAAUUUGUGUUGUUUGGAUGUCAUUUGACGCUUUGAGUGUGUUCUUAUGAUGUAUUAGGAUUUGUUUAUAUGGUUGGUUGAGGUCCCAGGGGCCUCGGGUGUAAUUCGAACCAUGUUCGGCGCAUUUCGGAUCAUUGAGGAACUACUGAAGUUCUGGUCAUUCUCAGUUCUGGUUUUCUUCUACACGUUCGCGAAGGUGUUCCCGUGUUCGCGUAGAGUAUUCUGAGAUUGCUAGAGGUUUACCAUUCGCAUUCGCGAAGAAGGCCACGCGUUCACGAAGGGCCAGGAAUUUGUGCACUACGAUCACGGACUGGGAUCUGUGUUCGCGAAGAGGAAAGGCAGCCUGGGGUGGGGACUCACGCAUUCGCAAGAAGGGCUUCAUGAUCAUGAAGCUUGAGAACUUUUGUCAUCGCGUUCGAGAGUGGAUCCUCGGGGUUGCGUAAGAGGAAAUCUAGCUGCAACAUUUUUAUAUUUCGCGAACGCGAGACAUUUUUUGCGUUUAUGAAGAAGGAAAUCACUAGGCAGCACACUUAAGUUUCAAAAUGGAGGGUUUAUUUCAUUUUUUGACUUAGAUAGCUCGGUUUAAGGAGAAAUUUCGAGGUAUUUUCAGAGAUAACUUUGGGGUAAGAAUUCCAAGCUCGAUUUUAGUUAAAUUACUCGAGUCUAUCAUUGUUUUUAUCAUGUAAUUAAGGAUUGGAGUUGGAAAAAUUGGGGAAAAGUGGUAGAACUUCAUAGACUAAGUUUUUGAUUUUGAAGGGAGAAAUAAGGUCGGAUUUGAAUAAUUCUUGUAUGGUUGGACUAAAUAUCGAAUGGGUGUUCGGUUUUACUAAUUUUGGUCGGGUUCUGAGACGCGGGCCCGGGAUGACUUUUUGGGUCGAUUUUUCAAUUCUUUGCAAAGAUCGUAAUUUCAUUGUUUGAAUUAGUUUCAUAUAGUUAUAUUUAUAGUAUGAAAUUAUUUUGGCUAGAUUCGAGCUGUUCAGAGUUGGAAAAUCGAGAAAAAAGUCUUCUAGUGGAUUGAUUUAGUGUGGUUUGAGAUAAGUGGCUUGCCUAACUUUGUGUGGGGGAAUUUUCCCUAAGGAUUGGUGUUGUUUGUGAUAACUGUGAUGUGUAAGAGCAGUGUAUGCAAGGUAACGAGUGUGUAAACGGGCUAAAUGGGGAAAUUGCCAAUUUUUAGCUAUGUAGAUUCUUUUCAUGCUUUAAUUGAUUUACUUUAACAUGUUAUAGUUAUCAUAUUUAGUCUAAUUUUACAUGUCUACUUGUCUUAUCUCUUACUUGUUAAUUGAUCUACAUCUUUAGUUGAAAUUCUUGUUUCCUUUACUCCGUAUUCAUUAUUUAACUGUUGAAUUCUUACAUGAAAAUUGCUAUUUCUUGGAAUACCUUAUUAUUGAAAUUGGUAUUGAGUUGAAAAGGCCAUGAUUCCUAUUGAGGCAAAGUGUUAAGUUGUGAAAUAUCAUUCUACUGAGUUAUUGUUUCGGUUAUUAUUGUUGAGACUUGUGUACAUUAUGGUUGAGCUGUAGGCUCCUUAUUCUGAUAUUGGGCACUUGAGGUGUGAUUUGUGAUACACUGUGAUAUUGAUACGCAUGCAAUGGUAUAAGGUCUAGGUGUUGAAAUGCAUGUGGCGAGAUAAGGUGGGCUUGAUACGCGUGGCUAGUAGGGGAACUACUAGAAGCCAUGCGAUGUGAUAAAGUGAGCUAAAAUGUGGAUGCUAUUUCGGGAAAUAUAAUUUUCAAAACUAAAUGUAAAGGCUCUCGUGGCGAUAUAAGGAAAUAUUGUGAUUUAUUUUUGUGAUUUGAGACUAUGAGGUGGUACCUCGGUAGUGACUCUUAUUGACAUUUCCUCAUUCUUUUGUACUUGUCUUUGAUCGUUGUUUCCUUAGCAUACUAAUAGUUGUCUUUAUCCGUGUUGCAUUAUUUGCUUAGUUCUAUGUAGCUAAUCUUGUUAUACCAUUCGUUGUUUCAAUUUCAUUACUGUCUUCAUUAUACUGCCUACAUCUGUUUAGUCCUUUAUCAUUUUCAAUAGGGCCUGAUCUGACCUCGUCACUAAUCUACCGAGGUUAGGCUUGACAUUUAUUGGGUAUCAUUGUGGUGUACUCAUGCUACUAUUCUGCACAUCUUUUUGUGCAGAUCUAGGUACUUCUUACCAGCACAUGCAUUAGUUGGGAUUCUAUUACGGAGACUUCAAGGUAUACCUGCCGGCGUCCGCAGGCCUCAGAGUCCCCCUCUCUCUAGACCUCUUAUUUCAUUAUCCUUUAUAUAUAGACAUGAUGUAUAGGAUUAUCUAGUAUUCAUAUUUAGAGCUUGUGACUUGUAUUACGUCG